UUUAAGUGCAACCAUAAGUUUCCGUGUCUAACUUUAAUGGUCCGUCUUAUUUUUUUUAUAAUUAAUAUUUUUAUUAUUAUAGUACUUUUAUGCGUGACUUAUAUUCUCAAUUUUUUCAAAAAAAAAUUCAAAUAAAACAAACGAUCAAAGUUGGGCAUGAAAAAUCAUGGCUACACUUAUA
rfam:Oryza sativa Japonica Group DNA, chromosome 1, cultivar: Nipponbare, complete sequence.